UAGUACCAUAGAGUCUAAUAAGAAAUG
rnacentral:piRNA from 1 species